rnacentral:lncRNA from 1 species
GAUGGUUGUAAUCCUAUAUGUGUUCAAAACCAUAAGACGGAAGGAUUAACAUAAUCACACAUCAACUGAUCAUUUGGUGUUUGUGCCAAUGUUCACUGGGAUCUGUACAUAAACACAACACUAUAUCUUCUAUGUUAGUCACAAGUUGUGUAUGUUGUACUCACACUAGAUUUGCCAUAUUAAAACUGAGCUUAACAUGCUAUUUGGCUAGUGAACACAUGUAUGAACAAACUGGGUGCCCAUGGGCUAACACACGAACAACAACGUAUGGAUGCAAGAUGCAUAACUGCUGGCACCUUUCUGCUUGUGUCUAGAAUAGUCACAUGAUUGCUCAAUACGUCCUCUUAACAAUUAACCUGCUUUUGAUAUGAACGAGAACGGUCUUCGAUUUGUAGGCCGAUCGAAAUUCCCGAUAUCUCUCAACCCUAUACUCAUGUACAUAAUAUUGUGACUAAGAUAGUUUGCGCAUAUGCAAGCAUGGAAUAAUAUAUACGAAGGAGCACAGCUCUCGC